rnacentral:lncRNA from 1 species
AUGGCCGGUCUUCCAAUUGGACUCGGUAGCCAAAAGGUUGAAGCUAAUAUUUAAUCAGUCUGACUAGUUGUUUGCUUUCUUAGGGUCAACCUUUGCUGGCAAUUUGGAUAUCUUUCACUGCAGGAAUAACCAGAAAAGGUGAUGGAAUAUUGUCGACGCUAGAAAGAAGCAUCGAAAAAAGAUUUAGCAGGCUCAGCUUUGCCAGCGUUAAAUAGAAGUGUCGUUUUGUUUGGUUUCCGACGAUGUUUCUUUGUGUUGGCACGUUAAAACUAUUUUUCCGACGCUUUUUUUAAGCGUCGUAAAAUCCAUGACGCUUUAAAACGUCAUCGAAAGCUAUAAACACCCAAACCUUAGCUCGACUCAGCAUGAUCCUUUCUAAAUUUCCUUCUAAAUUUUCUCUCCUGCUUCGCUGCCUCCCCCGACCUCCUCCUUCUCCCUCUUGCUUGGCCUCCUCCUCCAUCACCAACCUCUCUCAGCGCCCGGCCUACUCCUUUGCCUCUUGCCCGGCCUCCUCCUCCGUCACCAGCCUCUUUGCCAGCCUCCUCCUCCAUCACAUAUAAAAUCUUGCCUACAUGUUCUUAAAAUUGUAGGCAUUAUUGAAGAGUGGAUUAUCAGUCGUUUGAGUUAAAAAUAU